GCAGGCUGAAACUCGCCUGCACGAAGUUGGAAUUGCUAGUAAUCGCGGAUCAGCAUGCCGCGGUGAAUACGUUCCCGGGUCUUGUACACACCGCCCGUCACACCAUGGGAGCUGGUAACACCCGAAGUCAGUAGUCUAACCGCAAGGAGGACGCUGCCGAAGGUGGGAUUAGCGACUGGGGUGAAGUCGUAACAAGGUAAC
rnacentral:rRNA from 1 species